GACGAACGCUGGCGGCGUGCCUAAUACAUGCAAGUAGAACGCUGAAGGAGGAGCUUGCUUCUCUGGAUGAGUUGCGAACGGGUGAGUAACGCGUAGGUAACCUGCCUGGUAGCGGGGGAUAACUAUUGGAAACGAUAGCUAAUACCGCAUAAGAGUAGAUGUCGCAUGACAUUUGCUUAAAAGGUGCAAUUGCAUCACUACCAGAUGGACCUGCGUUGUAUUAGCUAGUUGGUGAGGUAACGGCUCACCAAGGCAACGAUACAUAGCCGACCUGAGAGGGUGAUCGGCCACACUGGGACUGAGACACGGCCCAGACUCCUACGGGAGGCAGCAGUAGGGAAUCUUCGGCAAUGGACGGAAGUCUGACCGAGCAACGCCGCGGGAGUGAAGAAGGUUUUCGGAUCGUAAAGCUCUGUUGUAAGAGAAGAACGAGUGUGAGAGUGGAAAGUUCACGCUGUGACGGUAUCUUACCAGAAAGAGACGGCUAACUACGUG
rnacentral:rRNA from 1 species